GUUCGGGGCAGAGGGCGGGAGGCGAAGAUACGGAGGUGGGCAGGCGAGAGGGUGACGGGCGUGAGUGGGGGUGGGGCUGAGCCUGUAUCAGGAACUGCAAUUCCUCUCCCCCGCCUUCUGCCCCUCCCCCGCCUGGCGAUAAAACCCCCAAGGCAGCGGGAUGGUCGCUGCUGCCGCCAAAUGCGGGUUCAUCUCCGUCCCCCAAAGCAGCGACUCGAAAGGGAGCCAGGACCCAGCCUGCGGGUGCCCCAGUGACCUUGAGCUCCUGUACUCGCCCGUCUGGCACCUCGCAGGGGUGCGGGUUAUCAUUAGGGUGACCGUACGUCCCAUUUGGGCCGACGGUCCCCUUUUUUAAACCCUGUCCCAGACGUCCUGACUUUUUUUUUUUUCUUUUUGGCAAGAGUGGCCAUUUGUCCCCUUUGCUCUUGCCAGUCGCACGUUGCUCUGAUCAGUCGCCAAGAGCAAACAGAACAAAUGCCCAGUUUUGCCAAAAAAAAAAACGAGUUGUGACCCCUUGGGGGGGGGCAGCAAAACGUUUGGGGACGCCAGUGGUGACAUGAAGUGCUGGGCAGGGGGCUCGAGCCGCCCACCCAGCGCAGUGCAGGGAUCAGGUGGUCAGCCCCAAUCCCUGUCGCAUGGGGCUGGGGCAAGCAGCAACACCAGGUGGCUCGGGACAGCCCUGUGCGGAGGUACAGGUGAACGGUGACGUCAUGCACCUCAGGCCAGCCCCCCACAGUGUCCCAGUUUUACUUUGGUAAAUAUGGGCACCUUACUUGUCAUAGAGUGAGGUUUGGGGUGUGGAGGUGGCAACUAAGGUGCUGUCAUGAGGCCAGCUGGAGCCUCCUCUAUGUGGGCGGGUGGGGGGUUAUUUAUGUUGCCUGGAUUUUAAGGCAAAGUUUCAGAAGAUAUGGAAGAUAUUUUUCCAGAAACUGUCAGAGAAGUUAAGUAAUCAUCUCACUCCACCAGUGGCCCCAUUGAGCCCAAUACAACUGAGCUCCAAGUGGUCAAUGAAGUGAGAAGGAGCUACUACAUUGCACUCAUCAACAUUGUAUCUCAGCAUCUUGAUUAACAUCUGCCCUGUGUUACUUCUCUCAUCCUCUCCCCCAACGGGAGAAACACCUGCAAUGGAAUGUCCUGAUUUGGUAAGGUUUUAGGGGGAAGAGCCUCUAGGCAAAAGCAUGAACAAAUAGCUUUGUUAUUAACUGAAUACUCAGGGUCAGUCCUAGCUUUUGCAGAGUCCUAUGUUAAGAUAUGUAGGGUCUCUGUUAUGAUUCUUAUCUUCCGGGGCCACAGAUGCACACAUACCAAAAAGGGGAGGAUCUGGGUAUUUUUAAUAUAUAGAUGUUGCUAUGUAUUUAUAUUAAAGAAGGUCAAAGAAAGGAGUCUUGCACUUAGGAAGGAAGGUGAAAAAGUUUGUGAUAGUCCUUAGUUCCCAGGGGAGUUCAUUCCAUGCUCUCAGACCAACUCCUGAGAAAUUUUCUCUUUCUGUCACACACAGAAGAGCUAUAUUCUUAUUAUAGUGAGUUCUAUUGUGCCAGAUACGCAUAGUUAUCAACCAGAGUCUUCAUCCCAGUACUUUAGGCAGUUAAGAGAGUACUGCUUGAAAUAGGACUACUGUAGUGUACCCUAAGGAACUUUUAGUGCACAUCAGCAAGGUCCACCCAUGCCAGUUAGAGCAUGACAAACUGGUGGGCAGUAGAAUUUACAUCCUUGAAGUUAUACGCUAAGGCACCGGGUAGACGAGCCCUUAGAUAUCCUGAGCCGAAGCCACUGAGUGCCUUAAAGAUAAGGGCAGAGACUUUGAACUUGAUUUGAAAUUCUAUCGGAAGCCAGUAUAGGGAAUGGAGGACAGGUCUGAUGUUUUUGCAAUAGCCUGUGUUGCUGAGAAGACACACUACAACAUUCUGUACUAGUUGGAGUUUUCUAAGAGCUGAAGGCAUCAUGACCAGGUAUAUUUCAUUGUUGUAGCCAGCCAAGAAGUGAUAAAGGUACAGUGGAUAAGAACCAAUAAUUUCUAAAAAUGAUUUUAAUGGAUUUUUCUGUUUAAAGUUAAAUUCAUUUUUUAAAGUUGAUCUAAAAUUAAAUUUGAAAUUAUGACAACCUAAAGGAUAGCCCAAACUUACUAUAAUAUAUUAAAAUAAUUUAAAUUAAAUUAAAAAAUCAUAGUCAAGCAGUACAUGUUUGCUGCCAAAGUUUUAGAGGCAGUCAAACCAUGAAACUUGUGGAAAUCUCUGGCUAAGCCCCUGGAAUCAGAGUUUGUUGAAGUGCUAGACCAGCUUUUGAAAGCAGUAGCUGCUUCUGCAGGUGCAGAGAAAAUGUUUUCUUCAUUUCAAUUUAUUCAGUUAGUUCAGUUCAAUUAUUAUUUUUUUCAAAGUUGAUAAACCAGUCAGGAGUUGAAAAAGCAGUAUAGCUUGUUUUCCUCUUGCCAUCUAUGAGUAAAAUGAGGUGUGGAAAGAUGAGAUCUACUAGUACUAAACUUGAAGGACAUCAUCAACAGAAAAAUCAAUUCAAUUCAGUAACUACAGUAACUGUUUAAUAAAAUAAGUUAAUUUUAAAUGCAGAACAUAUUUUGAUAAGCUUUUUGAUCUUAUUUGUCCAGCACAUUUAAAGUAGUCUUAUUUAACUAAUAAACAAACUUGAAAAGCUGUUUUUGUGCAUUUUAAGCGAUUACUAAUGUCCAUCCAACUGCAGCUUGACA